CAGCAGCCGCGGGAAUACGGAGGGUGCAAGCGUUAAUCGGAAUUACUGGGCGUAAAGCGCACGCAGGCGGUCUGACAAGUCAGAUGUGAAAUCCCCGGGCUUAACCUGGGAACUGCAUUUGAAACUGUCAGGCUGGAGUCUUGUAGAGGGGGGUAGAAUUCCAGGCGUAGCGGUGAAAUGCGUAGAGAUCUGGAGGAAUACCGGUGGCGAAGGUGGCCCCCUGGACAAAGACUGACGCUCAGGUGCGAAAGCGUGGGGAGCAAACAGGAUUAGAUACCCGUGUAGUCCCUGUCUCUUAUAC
rnacentral:rRNA from 1 species